rnacentral:rRNA from 1 species
UACGUAGGGCGCAAGCGUUGUCCGGAAUUAUUGGGCGUAAAGAGCUCGUAGGCGGCUUGUCACGUCGGAUGUGAAAGCCCGGGGCUUAACUCCGGGUCUGCAUUCGAUACGGGCUGGCUAGAGUGUGGUAGGGGAGAUCGGAAUUCCUGGUGUAGCGGUGGAAUGCGCAGAUAUCAGGAGGAACACCGAUGGCGAAGGCAGAUCUCUGGGCCGUAACUGACGCUGAGGAGCGAAAGCAUGGGGAGCGAACAGG